GACGAACGCUGGCGGCGUGCUUAACACAUGCAAGUCGAGCGGUAAGGCCCUUUCGGGGGUACGACGAGCGGCGAACGGGUGAGUAACACGUGGGUGACCUGCCCUUAGCUCUGGGAUAAGCCUGGGAAACUGGGUCUAAUACCGGAUAUGACUCCAUGACGCAUGUUGUGGGGUGGAAAGCCUUGUGCGGCUAGGGAUGGGCCCGCGGCCUAUCAGCUUGUUGGUGGGGUGAUGGCCACCAAGGCGACGACGGGUAGCCGGCCUGAGAGGGCGACCGGCCACACUGGGACGUGAGACACGGCCCAGACUCCUACGGGAGGCAGCAGUGGGGAAUCUUGCGCAAUGGGCGAAAGCCUGACGCAGCGACGCCGCGU
rnacentral:rRNA from 1 species